rnacentral:sRNA from 1 species
UUGUUUAUAAGAGCUUUCAUACAUGCAAAAUAUUCAAAAACAAUGUCCGAACAUAUAAUUUUUGUCCGGUAAUAUUGCAAAGAUCACGAAAAGGCCAGAAAAAAUACAUUUCGGUCAAAAUUUGGAGUAGAAAAAAAACCCUUCCUCAUUCAUUGGACAGCUCUCUUUGGGUUUUCCGAAAAGGUAUCACAUGCCAAGUUUGGCCUCACGGUCUAAACCUUAUAGACUCAUACAUUUUUCACAAAAAAAAGAAGAGAAAAACCAAAAAAAAGAGUGAUUAAACACGAGGACUUUCCUGGAGGUCACCCAUCCUAGUACUACUCUCGCCCAAGCACGCUUAACUGCGAAGUUCUGAUGGGAUCUGGUGCAUUAGUGCUGGUAUGAUCGCAUCUGUUACUACAUGCAAUGCAAUCAUAUCUAUUCUUUUUUGAAGAUUUUAUGAUUCAUUUACCGUGGGUCCCACCAGCUAUGUAGGAAUAACCUAUCUUAUUUAUAAAAGCUUUGAUACAUGCAAAAUAUUCGAAAACAAUGUCCGAACAUAUAAUGUUCGCCCCAAAAUAUAGCAAAGACCACAAAAAUGCCAUAAAAAGUACAUUAAGGUCAAAAUUUGGAGUAGGAAAAAAAUCAAUAGGAGAAUUCCAUUUUCCUUCCCUCAUUCAUCGGAGAGCUCUCUUUGGGCAUUCCAAAAAGGUAUCACAUGCCAAGUUUGGCCUUACGGUCUAAAAGUUAUAGAGUAAUACAUUUUUAACAAAAAAAA